UUUAUUUAGUAUGGAAGAAUAUGUACUGCUAUUAUGUUCUCUUGCAUUUGUUCUGCUGCUCUAUGGUGCUGCUAGGGUUUCCUACUCCAUUUUUUGGAAACCCAAGUGGCUUGAGAGGCAGCUGAAGCGACAAGGGAUUAGAGGCACCCCUUACAGGCCACUCAUUCGAGACAUGAAGGAGUUUGUUAGGCUGAUCAAGGAAGCAUGGUCCAAGCCUAUGAGCUUAACUCACCAGAUUGCCUCACGUGUCGACCCGUUCACCUCAACUAUCAUGCAGAAAUAUGGCAAAAUAUCAAUGUAUUGGGUUGGGACAACACCAAGAUUGAUCAUCAUGGACACAGAGCUGAUGAAAGAAAUUUUGUUGAACAAGCAAGGCCAUUUCGGUAAGCCGCCAUUGAAUCCAUUGAUUCUCAUCCUGACGAGAGGACUUGCAAGUCUAGAGGGUGAGAAAUGGACCAAACACAGAAGAAUUAUCAAUCCUGCUUCCACUUAGAACGACUCAAGGAAAUGAAAUCGGUUUUCGCAGUCAGUUGUGACGAAAUGAUAGAGCAGUGGAAAAGGGUGGUUCCCCUUGGAGGAGGAGGAGGUUUUGAAAUGGAUAUCUGGCCUGAGAUCCAAAAGCUUAGUGCAGAAGUUAUUUCUCGAGCAGCGUUUGGAAGCACGUACAAAGAAGGGAAGAAGGUUUUCGAGCUUCAGAAAGAGCUUCUAGUGCUGACAUUUGAAGCAAUGACUACUUUAUACGUUCCUGGUUUCAGGUGCAUUUCCAAUUUCCAUUGUCUAAAACCCUAGCUUUCAUGCUUUCAUAUUUGUUAGCGAUAAAAAUUAACAUUUUGACUGUUUGAGUACUGAUUUGUUCCAACAAAAAAGAACCAAAGGAGAAAGAAAUUGGCCAAAGACAUCACGUCAAUGCUACGAAAGAUAAUUGAGAAGAAAAUGAAUGCGAUGAGGGCUGGGGAAUCAAGGGUUGAUGACUUGCUAGGAGUGCUGUUGCAGUCUAAUAACCAGAAGGAUUCAUCAGAAAAUCCAAGCAACGUGAAAACCAAUGAGACGUUGACAAUCGAAGAGGUGAUAGAGGAGUGCAAGCAGUUUUAUCUUGCCGGCCAAGAAACCACCUCAAGCUGGAUAACAUGGACCCUGAUUGGACUGGCAAGAGAAGGCAAGGCACGAAGUCCUUCGAGUUUGUGGGAAAAAGGAACCCGAUUUUGAAGCUAUAAGCCACCUCAAAAUUGUAACCAUGAUACUUAAUGAAGUUUUAAGGCUGUACCCGCCAGCGAUUGCAGGGUACCAACACACGUACAAAGAAACGAAAAUAGGAGAUAUCAUUGUUCCGGCAGGAGUUGACAUUACUCUCCCAACCCUACUGAUUCACCAUGAUCCCAGCCUGUGGGGUGAUGAUGCAGGGGAAUUCAAACCAGAGAGAUUCUCAGAAGGAGUGUCCAAGGCAACGAAGGACCACCAGCAAGCGUUCUUUCCAUUCGGAUGGGGCCCGAGGACCUGCAUCGGCCAGAACUUUGCAAUAAUGGAAGCAAAGGUUGCUCUAGCUAUGCUUCUGCAACACUUCUCGUUCGAGCUCUCGUCUUCCUAUACUCAUGCUCCAUAUACGGUUACCAUUCUUCAACCACAACAUGGAGCUCUAAUCACAUUGCACCAAAUCUAGGGAGGGUUAUCUAAAUUUCGGUUUCAAUAAUGUGAUUUGAAAUGACAAACCGUGUGGCCUUUACAUUUAAACAGUGUUCUUCAUAGUGAAGAAGUCAAGAUGUAGGGUUUACUUAUUAAGUUCAGUGUCUUCUUAGAGUCCCAAUAAACAUAUCACCACCACCAUUAGGACUGUUUGUCCCAGUAAUUAUGUAUUAAGAAAAUGCAUUCAGAUUA